rnacentral:rRNA from 1 species
GUCCUUGCCGUAAACGAUGUAUACUUUAUGUAGUUAGGCUCAACCCUGACUGUGUCGAAGCGAACGCGAUAAGUAUACCGCCUGAGGAGUACGCUCGCAAGGGUGAAACUCAAAAGAAUUGACGGGGGCCCGCACAAGCAGUGGAGCAUGUGGUUUAAUUCGAUGCAACGCGAAGAACCUUACCCAGGCUCGAAAUGCAGUGGGCGAUAUCAGAAAUGAUAUUUUCCGCAAGGACUGCUGCAUAGGUGCUGCAUGGCUGUCGU